AUUGAACGCUGGCAGCAGGCCUAACACAUGCAAGUCGAGCGGAUGAGAGGAGCUUGCUCCUGGAUUCAGCGGCGGACGGGUGAGUAAUGCCUAGGAAUCUGCCUGGUAGUGGGGGACAACGUUUCGAAAGGAACGCUAAUACCGCAUACGUCCUACGGGAGAAAGCAGGGGACCUUCGGGCCUUGCGCUAUCAGAUGAGC
rnacentral:rRNA from 1 species